rnacentral:lncRNA from 1 species
GUUUUACUGGAUUACUGCCUGAAUUGAGAGAACUUUUUGGUGUAGAAUGCCAAUGUUGCUGGUUGAAAUGACAAUUUUUAGUCCUUUAUAAUUGAACUGACUAGAUAAUUGGGUAUGAUAUGGCCAAAGCUACAAUCACAGUUAUAACCUCUCUGGGUCUAGUUUCCUCAUUGGCAAACUGGGAAUUACAAUACUGUUACAGACUGUUCUCCAUCCCUCACAAAUUCAUAUGAAACCUCAUCCCCAAUAUGACAGUAUUAGGAGGUGGAGCCUUUGGUAAGUGAUUAGGUCAUGAGGGUGGAGCCUUCAUGAAUGGGAUUAGUGCCCUAAUAAAAGCAACCCCACAGAGUCACCCCACCCCUUCCACCUUGUGAGGACACAGUGUGAAGGUACUGUCUAUAAACCAGACAGCAGGCUCUCACAGAUACUGAUUCUGCUGGUGCCUCCAACAUGUGAAGGGGAGCAGACCUCACAAGUCUAUGAGAAGGAGAAGAUGGGACAGUGCUGUGGGACAGCACCCUGAAAUGCUUAGCAUGGGUGAAGCACGUUGUAGGGAGCAUAGCAAAACAUCAGCAGAACCAAACCUAGGACACCAGCCAAAGCUUUGGAUGGUCUGGAAUGUGGAUUAAGAGCUGUAUGCAUAGCCCAGAACUGGCCCAGGAGGAGGAAGAGAAAUAAUUCCUAAUGUUGACAAGUCCAACUCUGAAAUGUCCAUAGCACUAUGGAGCCUCUGGAUGGAUGGACGUAACAAAGUCCCUUCCUCAUUGCGAUUAUUGGCAAACAACCUUUGCCUGUUUCGUCACCUUCCGCAGGUGCCAAGUCUCCCUGGUAUAAAGUCAAGUAGGAGAUGAAAGUGAGGUUAAGGACCAUAAUAUGGGAUCACAGAAGAACACCAAGUCCAGAUGAGAGUCUCAGAAUUUCACUCUUGUCACCCAGGCUGGAGUGCAAUGACAUGAUCUCAGCUCACUGCAACCUCCGCCUCCCAGGUUCAAGCAGUUCUCCGGCCUCAGCCUCCCAAGUAGCUGGGAUUACAGUUGCUCAUCCUCCUACCUGGUUCUCUGGACCACGGAGGCAAUAUCUACAUACAAUCAACUCACAUGCUCCAGAAUGCACUGCUCUCAGAGCACUUCCUGGUUUUACCAGAGACCUCCCUAUGGGUCACAAAGUGAUUCUGAGGAAGAAAAAAUGGUUACAACAGCUGGCAGCCAACAGCUAACAACUAGGCUGAAGCAAAAUGUUCCCAGUCGAACAUAAAC